rnacentral:rRNA from 1 species
UCUUGGUCAUUUAGAGGAAGUAAAAGUCGUAACAAGGUUUCCGUAGGUGAACCUGCGGAAGGAUCAUUACAUUUUCGAGGUGCUAACCGCACAUCGAUUCUACCCUUGUCUUUUGCGCACUCAUGUUUCCUCGGCGGGCUUGCCCGCCGAUUGGACAAAUUUAAAACCUUUUUAAUUUUCAAUCAGCGUCUGAAUAAACUAAAUAAUUACAACUUUCAACAACGGAUCUCUUGGUUCUGGCAUCGAUGAAGAACGCAGCGAAAUGCGAUAAGUAGUGUGAAUUGCAGAAUUCAGUGAAUCAUCGAAUCUUUGAACGCACAUUGCGCCCCUUGGUAUUCCAUGGGGCAUGCCUGUUCGAGCGUCAUUUGAACUCUCAAGCUUUGCUUGGUGUUGGGUGUUUGUCCUUUUAGGACUCGCCUCAAAACAAUUGGCAGCCAGCGUAUUAGUCUUGGAGCGCAGCACAUUUUGCGAUCUAGCUAGUAAAUUGGCAACCAUCAAGCCUUUUCUAACACUUGACCUCGGAUCAGGUAGGGAUACCCGCUGAACUUAAGCAUAUCAAUAAGCGGAGGAAAAGAAACCAACAGGGAUUGCCCUAGUAACGGCGAGUGAAGCGGCAACAGCUCAAAUUUGAAAUCUGGCUCUUUCAGAGUCCGAGUUGUAAUUUGCAGAGGGCGCUUUGGUGUUGGUAGCGGUCCAAGUUCUUUGGAACAGGACGUCACAGAGGGNGAGAAUCCCGUACGUGGUCGCUAACCUUCACUGUGUAAAGCCCCUUCGACGAGUCGAGUUGUUUGGGAAAUGCAGCUCUAAAUGGGAGGUAAAUUUCUUCUAAAAGCUAAAUNCUGGCCAGAGACCGAUAGCGCACAAGUAGAGUGAUCGAA